CAACCCUCAAGCUUUACUGCUUGGUUUUGAGGUUCUAUAAUUUUAUAGGCUUCUAAAUACAUUGGCGGAACGUCAAAAACUUCCAAGUGUAGUAAAUUUUAUUCAUUUAGAAAGUUUUGACGGUUUCUUGCCGUAAAACACAGGACCUUCGGGCCUAUUUUUACAA
rnacentral:misc_RNA from 1 species